AAUGGGUCAGCGACUUAUAUUCUGUAGCAAGGUUAACCGAAUAGGGGAGCCGGAGGGAAACCGAGUCUUAAUUGGGCGUUAAGUUGCAGGGUAUAGACCCGAAACCCGGUGAUCUAGCCAUGGGCAGGUUGAAGGUUGGGUAACACUAACUGGAGGACCGAACCGACUAAUGUUGAAAAAUUAGCGGAUGACCUGUGGCUGGGGGUGAAAGGCCAAUCAAACCGGGAGAUAGCUGGUUCUCCCCGAAAGCUAUUUAGGUAGCGCCUCGUGAAUUCAUCUCCGGGGGUAGAGCACUGUUUCGGCUAGGGGGCCAUCCCGGCUUACCAACCCGAUGCAAACUGCGAAUACCGGAGAAUGUUAUCACGGGAGACACACGGCGGGUGCUAACGUCCGUCGUGAAGAGGGAAACAACCCAGACCGCCAGCUAAGGUCCCAAAGUCAUGGUUAAGUGGGAAACGAUGUGGGAAGGCCCAGACAGCCAGGAUGUUGGCUUAGAAGCAGCCAUCAUUUAAAGAAAGCGUAAUAGCUCACUGGUCGAGUCGGCCUGCGCGGAAGAUGUAACGGGGCUAAACCAUGCACCGAAGCUGCGGCAGC
rnacentral:rRNA from 1 species